GAGGGAGGGAGGGAGGCAUCAACAUACUGACGUGGUUCCAUAAACUGCAGGUCUCUCUCUCUCUCUUCAGCCACUCGUUUCUUUAGUCUGCCUCUAAAAGACAGGAAGACAAGCGGAGCCGGGAGGAGGAGGAGGAGUGUGUAAGGAAAUCCUGUGACUCAUGAGAAAAGAGGAUACCUGCCGUUUCACUGAUCCCAGCACAGAUUGAGAAACACUCUGUCAACGUGAAGGCACGUUCGUCCUUGGGCCGUGCUCCUGAACUGACUCAUUGUGGAGGAUGAAGAACGGGACCAAUCACGGCCGCUCCGUGUGAAUGCACUGAACCGUCGUGACCUCGGCCUCCCGCUGGGUCAACGAGUCCACGUCGGCCCGUAAGGGUCUCGAUUAAAAUGUCAUGUUGCGUCGGUCAAGGACACUUCAGCUCUGAUGCAGAAUGAGCAAAUAGCACCUGAGCCCGGUUUAUGUUGUCCUAUGUGAUAAGCUCAAGAAAAGGAUCAAUCAAGUUGUUGUUGUUUUUUUCUAUAUUAUUAAGAAACAUAUUUCCAGAAGAUCUUUUUUUAUUUGUUCUGCAGGAGAGCGUCAUACAGUACAUACAUCUGUCAGACCAAUGACAUGCAAUAAAGAGCAUCACUCUUAAAUAUGACAUGAUGCAAAUUUCCCUUCAGGAAAGUGACAGUAUUGCUUGUCUCUUAAACUAGUCCAUCAUCAUACCUGAUGAAGUUUUGUAACGAGGUUAAUGUCCAACAUAUGUUGCAAGUCAGCUGAACCAAACAGUUUUGCUGAAGUAUAAACUUGUGUUAUGAUGUAAUUUGAUUCAUCAAACCAUCUAAUUCCUUGGAUUAAGAUGCAAUUACCCAUUUCCAUGCUCUGUUGUGUCUGGCAUGUUUCUACUCUGCCAGCGUAUUGACUUCACUGAGGCAGGCUUCAUCGCUGAUCCUGCUAAAUUAAAGUCAGGUUACAUUUAGAUGACUGUCUGUACAAGGGAACAACAGCAGGAGUAAGACAGAAUCCCAGCAUACUCUGCCAGCUAAUAGUGAAUAAAAAAGUGUGUUUAAUCUUAAGCAGAAACCAACAAAUCCAAGGAAACAGAGGAUACCCGAACCAUUUUGUAUGUACAGUAUAAUAUAGUAUAUUUUUCCAGUUGUGUAGUCCUUCACCCAAAUAUGUGAUAUAUUUAGCAAUCUCUAGACUCUCCUUCUCAUGAGGAGAAGCUGGUUGCCGUGGUAACUGACCAUGUUUAAAAACUUGUUUGUGCAAAGCACGGAGGUUAAGUGCAGUGAUCUGAAGCCAGCUGCCAGUCACCGGUUAGCUGACGUGAGUCCUCGCGGCGUCGUUUUGAAAAACUGACUUAAAUGUUCAUUAAGGAAAAGUCGCAGAUGACGGGCGUCCACUGUUUUAUUGAGUUUGAAAGAGUGCUAUUGAGCAUCUCAUACACGGAGUGGUUUUUAUUUGCUGCUCAGUGUUGUUGCUGUUUGUCUUCCCUUCUCCCGCUCAGCUCGUUAUAUUUACUGUCAUAGCAGGAGGGCUGAAAUACAUCUGUCAGGCAAAAACUGAAUGCAUAUUAGUGGAUUGUUUCAGCUAAAAACACACAUUUUUUACCUUGGAGGUAUCAAGUUUCUUCUUACUGGUAUGCAUAUGAUUUUAUUUGUGUCCCUUUCAAUACAUACAUUAUGUCUCUGAGAUCUAAAGAAAUUUCAUUAGCGGUGCAUUGGUUGUGGAGACUGGUGAAUAUCUCAUCUACGGUAUCGGAUUUGUUGCCAUGACAAUGUGUUCAGGCAAACGCGACCUUUAAACUUUUUUUGUAAUUUCAGUAAACUGGUCCUUCUUUUUUUUCUUUCUUUUUCUCUUAUCGCAGAGAAUAAGUCAUACGUCCUGGUGCUGGUUUGGUCACUGCCCAGUAUGGGAACCAGUGCGAGCCAAUCCAAUUCAG
ensembl:lncRNA